AUAGAUGACAGUUGACAGAUGACAAAGUUGACAGAUGAUUGACAGACAAUGGUUGACAGAUGAUAUAAUUGAGAGAUGAUUGAUACUGGUAGAUAGAUGAUAGAUAGUUGAGAGGUGUUUGAUGCAGAUAGAUAACAGUUGACACAUGAUGGAUAGAUAUAGAUGACAGUUGAGAGAUGACAAAGUUGACAGAUGAUUGACAGACAAUGGUUGACAGAUGAUAUAAUUGAGAGAUGAUUGAUACAGGUAGAUUGUUAAGAGAGGAUUGAUAGAUGAUAGUUGACACAUGAUUGAUAGACAGAUAGAUGAUAACUGACAGAUGAUAGAGUUGACAGAUGAUUGACAGAUAGACAAUGGUUGACAGAUUAUAUAAUUGAGAGAUGAUUGAUACAGGUA